CGCUCCAAACCCUGAGUGUGUGCAGAAGGAUCAGAGGGCAAAAACACUGCAGACAAACCUUAUAAGCAGCAGCCAUGUACAGUGUACAGACCAUGGCAGGCAGACAGACUGAGAGACAGGCAGAUUCCUCAGAGGAAAUCACUAUUAAAACAUCCAUACAAAACACUGUGUACAAACGAAGAGCAAUAUGAAGUAAUGAGAGAGAGGGGGCAAUCAAAUAGGAAUAGAGAUUAAUUGAAUAAGAUAAAUAAAUAGAUAGUCAAGUGCAUGGAUCAAAAAAUGAAGGAACCAAUAGAUUUUCAUGUCCAGAUUUCUCGAAGGUUGUCCCGUUUUAUCCUGGCUUAAAGGCGGCCAUCAUGCCAGCGCACCUGUCUUUUUAACCGUGAAUUUAUACCGAGGUCAGUGUGGUUCAGAGCUUCUUUCAGCUUUGCUAAGAGAAGUAGAGCAACUGGGCAACUGGCCUGGGUGUGGUCAAUAGUUUAGCACCUGGUUUCAGUUGGAUGUGGUGGUAUGUCUUAUUUCCCUGUGCUUUAAAACAUUUGCAAAUUUCUCUUUUACUUUCCGUUCAAGGUUAAGAUCAAUGUCAGAGUUAACUGUGUGUACGAUGUUAUUUUUUUUCUUGUGACUAUUCGAAGUGUCACACUCAAGCCAGCUCAGGAGUGCUCUGAGUCGAACCUGAUAGCAGUCAGCUAGCAGUUGCACUCGUUGCUACAACAUGUUUGGAUCAAUCUGUUGCUGAAAGUACACCUCAAAUUGUCACGUACUCCAUGAAGGCAAUGGUAAGCAUUGUCCACGAUGGCCAUGAGUUUGGACACCAUUCCUCUCUCCACCACCAUAUCCAGGAGGGUCAAGAUUUAACCCGAUGACAUCUUGGGUAAAACUUACACAAGCUAGUGAAACCUGCCAAUAGCCAAUAAAUAUAAGGCCAUGUGCACCCUAAUGAGGAUGUGUGUGUGUGUGUAUAUAUAUAUAUAUUGAAUGUUGUCUAAGCAUGUUGUAAAUAAACUAACAAAUUUAUGCAUUAAAUUAAAAUGCUAAAAAUAUAUUACUCUUGUAUAAUUACAACUAUACUGUAUUAUAUGAUCGUUUUUUAUGAAUGCAUUACUGAGUAAUAUACUUUUAUCUGAAGUUUUAAUUCAAUUUCACAAUAUGCCGCUGUUAGAUACCUGUUUAUCACACAUUUGAAACAGGCAUGCAUUUGAAACAGGCUUUAGCCAAGUCAUUAAAAGGUUCAUGAUUCAAAUUUAAUUUUCAAACAAUUUAAAUACAUUAUUGCAGUGUAAUAAUCAAAAAAUAAUCCCAAUCAAAACCAAAGAGAAAACACACUGCCACAUUACACAUCAAAGAGCCUAAAAUAUCACCUUGCAAAUAGCAGCUUAGUGUAUACAGACAUGAAAAUUCAAAUUUCAUAUGCAAGACUUGGCAUGUUAAUGAAGCACAGCGAGAGGGCAACAACGUUGACACCUGGAGAUCAUUAGUGAGAAUCAGCACGCCGUUUAUCAGCAUUUUUACAUGAAAGGUUAAAUCUACAGUCAGGAGUCAUAACAGUUAGUUGUCAAUUAAACUAUGGAUGCAUAACCAUUUCUCCACCUCUUGCACAUGCAAUUUUACCUAAAAUACAAAGACCUUUAGAAGGCAGUUUGAGGACAUGCGAUAAAGAAAUGCCCUAAUAUUUUCUGACCUUGGUAUAAUAAGUUUCUAUAUGGGUGAAUGGCUAUUUUGGGAUAUAUGACAUAAAGGUUUAGAUAUUCCAGCUAGCAAAACUCUAAAGUACUGAAAUGUACACUGAAUGUCCAUUUUAAUAGGAACACUUGUACACCUCCUUCUUUAUACAGUUAUCCAAUCAGUGGAUGCAUGUGGCAGCAGCACAAUGCAUAUAAUCAUGCAGAUAGAGUUCAAGAGCUUCAGUUCAUGGGCACAUCAAGCAUCAGAAUGGGGGAAAAGUGUGAUCUCUGUGACUUUAACUGUGGCAUGGUUGUUGGUGCCAGAAGGGCUGGUCUGAGUAUUUCAGAAACUGGGAUUUUCACACACAACUGUCUCUAGUCUUGCCAAGGGAACUGGAACUCUAAAGGGGUGACCAUAACAACAGUAGACAACUUCUAAUAGACAAGGUCAGAGGUUUCCCCUCGUGCUGAGCGCCAGAGCAAGCAGCACGCUCAACAGUCUGUAGCGCGACAGUGCGUGCUUCUGGGUUGUCAUACUUUGUUUACUUUUUGACAUGUGUUUUUUUAUGUUUUAUGUCAUGUCACCGCCCGAGUCUUGUUACUGGUUGUCUCCCUUAUGCAUAAUCAUUAUUCACAGCUGUUUAUGUUUUAUCCUUUUAUCAUUUGAUUUUGUUGUAUAUUUAAAUCCACUGUCUUUGUUCUGAGUAAGUUGCCGCCAGAGCCAUACCUUGUCCUCGUUUCCUUGAUUUUCUGAUCCUGUCCCUAGUUUCUCAUUUUGUGCUUUCCUUGCCUCGUUUGUGUCGUUUGUAGAUCGCCUGACCCAUGCCUGCAUUUGACCAUGUUUUUACCUAUUUUUGGAUUUAUCUGCCUGUCUCUCAUUAAAGCUUUUAAUUGCACUUGCAUCUGUCCCCACCCGUUACACAAUAGACAAAAAUAGCCUGAAAGAGUUUUGAAAUUCUGCGACAACUAGAAAGUACAUUUCUGAACACUAGCCAAAUACAGAUAUGCCCUUAUUAUUCUCAAAGAUAGUUUAGUAACUGUAUAAAGAUAUAUCUGGUGUAUUCCAUCUCAUUAAAUAAAUAAUAAAUGGUAAUAAACCUAGCAGUGAAACAUGUUUUAUUCUAUUAAGUGUAUAAUAAUAUGUUCUUUUCAAUAAGUUAAAAAUCAAAAAUCGUUCCUAAACAAAAAUAAAGAUGUUUUACCUUGAAAUUUCAUUGUAAAUUAUUUUUGCAGGGAUCCCCUUAUCCACAGUAAGCAAGAUGGAUGGGAAAGCCAACUUUUUCAUCCAAAACUGGCUGAUCUUGCGGCAAUGCCAAUCUGAAACCUGUCUUUUUGGAAAGAACAUCUUACAUUGCAAUGCAUCAGCAUGGGUUACAAGCAGGAGAAAACCAGGCUAGUGUUGCACCUGAGGGAGUCCACUGACCAAGCAGUGUGGAGUACAACUGUCCAGGUCCACAUAGGUGCCAACACAAUCAUGUCCUGAGUAGAUUGGCCGAGGUGCUGGAGAGGUGUAGACAGGUCAUAAGUAGAGGUCAUCCUCCACCAUUGUGUCAGCACAUCCAAGUCCUCAGAGAAGUUGGGAGCAACACAAGCGCCACGCCAAGAGUUCAAUCAAGCAUAGUUCCUUGAGACUGAUAGUUGAUCUUGGCAGGAAGUUCCAGUUCCCUAAUGAAAUCACCAAAACAAGUUCCCAUGGGAAGAAGCAAUAGAAGCUGCCUUUGAGAAGAAGAGGCUGAAGUACUCAGAUCUCAUCGAUGAGUGUAAGGAGGCUGGCUGGAGAACCAUCAUCUACUCUGUAGAUGCAGGAAGCUGUGGUUUUGUUGGAACAUCAACUGUUCGCCUCCUGAAGGAGUAACUGGCCCAAACCAGUGGAAGACCCUGAAAGACUUGGCUGAUGCGGCAGAGAAGAGCAGCUUUUGGCUUAGGAUGAGGAGAAAGGAGAAGUGCUGUGGUAGUAAAACCUAACCCGAGGUCUAGUUACACAUGGUGGCAGGGAGAGGUCCCUGCCACUGCUCCGUCACCAGGAUACGUUCUGGGAUUAAAGGAGCAAAACUCUAUUGAGCAGUGAUACCUGGCUGACGACCCUGCAGCUGACCUAUGCCAUAUUUGAACCAGUGGCACUGAACAUGCAUUAACGGUGCCAGUAGGGCUUGUCACAGCCUUAGCCACUGGAAAGGUCUGUAUGGCUCUGGCUAUGUUAAGCAAACAUGCUUGAGUGGUAUUAGGUGUAACAGGAGGAAACCAUAUAGAAACAGUGGUACUGAGCAUGCAUUAAUGGUGCCAGUGGGACUUGCUACAGCCGUAGUCACUGGGGAGGCGUGUAUGGUUGCAUGGCAUGGUGGCAAGGCUUAUGGAAGGGCAAUAAUCCUGUGAGCAUCAGAGGAGGUGUGACAAGCAGUAAUGCCAUAGCAGUUCAACAUGUACCUGUGUAAUUAAUAAUAUUAAAUACAGACAUUAGAGACUGUCUUACUGUAGCUGUUGUUUUGUCCAUCAAACUCAGGGGAGCACCUCAGUAAAAUGUAAAGAACAGUAAAGAUGUAAUAUGGGGUGAGAGGCAGGAGGCAAGCAUGUAAAUUCAGUAUAUACUUUUAUUUGAUUUUAUAUCUUAGCCCUUAGCAGGGCUCAAAUCACAGCCAGGCAAAGUCAAGCAAGGAUAAUUUAUGUCAAAACAGGCAAAGGACAAAACCAGGCGUGCAAUGAAACACAGAACAUGUUAAACGAGGCUUGUCUUUAAAGUAACUAUUUGCAAGGUAAGACUUUGCAAAGAUACACUGACAUAAUAGGUUGGCAUUAUAAUCAUAAUUAAAUGAAGAACAGGUGAACACAAGUGAGCAAAAAGCCAGUGCCAGGACAGUGUCGAAAAACAAGGCUAGAACACAACCCAAAUCAAACAUGAGCACACAUCACCAUGGGAACUGCAACUCCAAUGGGGAGACCAUGACAAAAUUAAAGCAAAAAAAGUACAAUAAAAUAUAAUCUCUCAAAGAUUUUGUGGUAUUGAUGAAUACCACAGUCUGUGUUAUGUUGACCUUGUUGGUUGCACAUAACGACAAAGUGAUAAAGUAGUGACAUUUCUGACUGGAAACAUUUGACAUGGGUUUAGGGCUUCAUUUACAAAUACAUUUGACUGGAGAAUUCAUGAAAGCAUUUCACAUAAAAAUGUAUUCAGAGACUGAAUAACUUCCCUCAGUCUUCCAUUAUAAGUGUGUUUUGAGCAAACAGAUUUUUUUCAUGUGUCGAAAUUAUUGUUCUUUAUUGUGAUUAUUGUAACUGCACGUAUACUACAGAUGUGUAGCAGUAGUGAAUGCCAUUUGAAGUGUCAAAGUAUGUGAAUAAUAAUAUUGUGCAUGUUGAAUAUUACAAUAUACUGAAUAACAGAUUAUAAGCAUCUACCUACAUCAUGGCUUUGUGAAUAAAUGUUGAGAGAUCCUAAAAAAAUAAUAAUCCUGUCAUUGAUUCUGUCAUAUGAUUUGGUUGUGCCACUUCAUAAUAAUUGCCAAUUUACAAUAUCUGCAGUCUGAAAAACUUCAGGGUCAACAAGAGCAAUUAUUAAAACAUAUUAUAUAUUCAGCUACACGUUUGCUGAGCUCGGGUUUCUGUCCAUGUGAAGUUUCUGUGCAUACUGUCCCUGUGUUCUGCGAUUUUCCUCACUCUUCCCCAAAACAUGCAGGUAGGUGGAUUGGCUGUGCUAAAUUCAUACACUUAGGUGUGAAAAAGUGCAAAUGUUUGUGUUCGUGUGUGUCUGGCCCAUUCAGGGUCAAGUUCCCUCUAUGACGUCACCCAGUUCUCAGAACUUUUUCUGAAGGAGUUCUCGCAGCCGGGGC
ensembl:lncRNA